GACGAACCGUGCGAACGUUGUUCGGAAUCACUGGGCUUAAAGGGCGCGUAGGCGGUCGAUCAAGUCCGGGGUGAAAUCUUUCGGCUUAACCGGAAAAGUGCCUUGGAUACUGGUCGGCUCGAGGGAUGUAGGGGCAGCUGGAACUUCCAGUGGAGCGGUGAAAUGCGUUGAUAUUGGAAGGAACGCCGGUGGCGAAAGCGAGCUGCUGGACAUCUUCUGACGCUGAGGCGCGAAAGCUAGGGGAGCAAACGGG
rnacentral:rRNA from 1 species